UAAAAAUGAAUUAUAAAUUCUGAUUGUGAACCCAUGAACAAAUUAACAAAUAACAUGUGUGAUACAAAAUUGAAUCGAGGCUUGUAAUAUUAAGUGAUAAAGGCCCCAAAACAAUUUUAAAAAAAAUUAAACAGCACUUCCUAAGCUAAAUCAAUGUAUAUAACAUUACAAAAUUAAAUGCCUUGGUUGCAAAAUAUACACAACAAAUAACAAUCAAUAAAACAGAAUGCAAUUAAUCAAAUGGCACUUGACCUUCCUUCUUAUUCUUUCUGAUUUUUUAUCGUCCUCCUAUUCCUCUAGAAGCCUGCAAAUUUCAGCAUAGCAAUGAUUCCAGGAACAUGUCAUCUCUUGGUUCUUCUUUGGCUCUGGAAAAAACAUUGUCUGUUGAUGAUUGAUUUGUGUAUGACCCCAUAGGAUUACCAAAUCCUGAGAAUGCAAAACUCUCUGGAUUCUGAAACAUCUCUAGUGAAAAGGGUGCUUCCCCUUCAGAUGUUGCUGGUAACCUUUGAUGGCGAAUUGCGUUUGUCAAGUUGUUAGAAUGGUGGUUCACAAUAGGUAGCGGUAUUGCCAUUGCUGCAUUGUUGUUCUCAUGCAAUGCCCUAUUCACAGAGUUGUUGCUGCUGCCGCUGCCGCGAGCCGCAGGAACAUCAUGGUUGUGCUUUCCCUCAUAGGUUGUGAUCACUGCCCUAAGAUCAUGAGAUGCUCUCUCAACAUGCUUUCGUACAGGACAUCCUGGAUUUGUACACUUAUAGUAGCUCCUGUAUGCAUUAAUUAGGGCAUUCAUUAGAAAACAACUUCGAAACAUUAACAGACCCAACUUUUUAAUAAUUUAAGAACUUUGGAUUGAAACUUCCCAGUUUGAAACAUCUUUUAAAAGUAAGAAAUAAAGAAUUAAAAGUAAGUAUAAAGAAUUAAAAGAAAAUGGGCUUUUAUACCUAGGAUUUGGAUUCCCCUUAACCACUUUCUGCCCAUAUUUCCUCCAUCUAUAUCCAUCAUCAAGAAUGUCAAUGUCACUUGUGGUUUGAACUACAACUCUAGGUUCUCUCACUGUUCUGCUUCCAGGUGCUGAAAUUCCUUCAUUUUCACCUUCUAUUUUCCAUCUUUUGGCCUCUGGUUCAUCUUCAUCAAAGUCAUCGCUUCUAGAUUUACUCUUCUGUGAAUCAAAAUCAUCGUCCCCUAUGGAUAUUGAAGAAUUCUCAGGUGUUGCAACAGAGUCCAUCUGUCCACUGCCAUGGAUGACAAGUGAUUGAUCUUGCAUCUCACUUGAUGCAAGAUUAGGAGCUAUCAUUGCUUGAUUGGAAGCUGAUGAAGAAGAAGAAGAUGAUCUCCUAGUAGAUUGAGGUUUAGGAUGGUUGUGGCUACCCUUGUAAACUAUCUCAGUUAUUUGUCCAUCCAAAGACCUCUCAACUUUCUUCUUUGUUGGGCAAUUGGGGUACGUGCACUUGUAAUAACUUCUUGGAUUUUCACUUCCUUUAACUUGCUUUUGUCCAUAUUUUCUCCAAUUGUAACCAUCUUCUGAUCUUCUCUGGUCUCUAGCCGACUGAUAUUGCUGUUUUUGACCACCGCCAUAAUCUGACUGGAAUCCAUUGUUGCUUUGAGCGUUUGUUUGAAUCGCAGCAAUCUCUGGGGAGAAGCUCUGCGUACUCUUCCCACUAGCAAAAUCAUCUUGCUUGACAGAUUCUUGGAAACUCCAUCCUUGUUGCUGUGCAGUUUGAAUCGUGGUGUUUGAAGAUUGAAACAUUGUAGAUGAGGAUGUGGGGGGCCUUGUCGGUGGCUGGAAAGAGAAAUCAGAAAAGUUCGGGUCCUCUUGCUUGACAUUUUGCUGGUUUCGACCAGAAUUUGUGUUCCACUUGGCAGCUUGAGCCGGGAAUGUUCCAGUAGUUGGAGAUGGCAAAAUGUUGGAAGUGUUCAACAAUACUGGAGAAUCCAGAAGCUCAGUGGGGCUUAAACCAGGAGGAAUAGCAAAGUAAGAAGAAGGAGAAACAGCAGGAGGAGAGAUGGGCAAAGAAGGAGGUGGAAGAGACUUGAACUUAGGUACACCUGACCCUGUUCUCUCAGCAAUUCGAUCUGACAACCCACGCCGAUGAUUCUCAAUCUUGGUAUUAAGAGAUUCAUCAUCGGCACCAGAUGCAAGAAGGUCAGAGAAGGAGUUGGUCAUGCAGGAAUGUGUGGAGAAACUGAAACUUGAAGGAUGGGAAUUUGCAGAUGUAUCUAAGCUCCCAGAAGAAAACGCCAUGGCAUAAAUACAAACAACAAUGAAAAGGAACAAAGAAAAAAGCCGAUAACUUUCAGUAUUUUAGAGAGAAAUAGAGAAAUCAGGAUGAAGAUGAAAGAUUGGAUUGUGGUUAAGAAGAAGAGGAAGGGAAGAUGAUCACGUAUUGAACAAGGUUUGCUUUGUCAUUGGAUUUGGGGGCUUCCAGGAAGCUCACAAGGGGAGGUUUGACCGUGGAAAACACUUAAGGGUGGUGGCCUGGUGCUCGUGGGUGGGGCAUGUUUCGUUUAUAUGUACCCUAUUUGCGUGUGUACUGUGGAAAAAAUUUAAAAUUUUUGGUCAAAACUUGUGGGUUUGACUGGAUGGCGGCUGACACUGAGAUAUUAUUCUUUUUUCUAUUUCUUGUGGAGGUAGCCUUGCUUUUGCCUUUCUGGUUUCUGCCUUUUAGGCAGCUGCCAUGCCAUUUGUGCAUGUAUUAGGCUGUUAAACAUCUGUUAAUUUCUGUUGUAUUUGGAAGAUGGUGCCUGAUGGUGUUGGCUCUUUUCUGUUACAUUCAUUAGAGGUGAAAAGAUUACAGAUAAGCUGAGUGCUUCAUAUAACUGGGUUAAGCUUCUUCACCAAGAAUGGCCUCCAAUGCUGGUGCAUCGGAUUCUUCGGUCAGUAAGUAAAUUCAUAUUUUAAGUUCUCCUCUUGGAGGUCCUCAAGUGUAUGUUUUCUUUAAAGCUUUUUCUCUUUUGAAUUUGAAACUUAACAAAAACUAGUUACUAUUGCUGUUGAUUUUUGGAAAUCUACUAUGAAAUGUGUUGAGUGUAUUUGUUCUUGGAAGAUCUUGACAGUGUCUUUGAACUGACUCUGCCUGUAACUCUACUUGGGGCAUUGAGCAUAAUUGUUAGGUGAAUGUAGAACCAUUAUAGCAAAAUUGUAGCACUGUCUAGAUUUUAAUGAGGCUAUAUUUAAUUAGUUAUAGUCAGAUAUGGCUGGGAAUUCAAAGUAGGGCUCCAAUCCCAAUUCCAUUGCUUCAAUUUUGCG
rnacentral:misc_RNA from 1 species